AUUUGAAAAUGCAACAUCUUCUUCAUUCCCACCCAUUACCCACCACCGUUCACCUCCUGCAACCCACCCCCCUCCUCCGUCAACCACACUUCUGGCACCACCAAACACCGUUCACCACCACCCUACUGUCACAAGGAGGAGGAUUUGCUGGGGGUGUGGCAGCGAUGGUAAGAGGCGGAGAGACUAGGGUUCCGUCAAGAACCCUGACGGUGGCGGCCUUGCUUCUCUGGUGACCGAACAACUCAAGAAAAAGAGAGAGAAAGAGAGACCGAAGAAGGAAAGGGAGGCGAGCGACGGAAUCAGAACCGCCGGCGGCGGCGGUGCGGCCGACCGACGACAUCAGCUAUGAUGACGCUGAUGUAUGUUGCUGACGACAGACGGCAGGAAACUGCCACAGCCGGCGGCGGCAGUAGUGGUGAUGGUCAUCUGGGCUCAGUUAUGGGUCACACGGUUCACACUUUGUUUCGGGUUCACGUUCAGCUCAGCUUUGGGUUAGGUUUGGUUCGAUCCAGUCUCGGUUUUGGUUCAACGCUAGUCGGCCAACCCGUUUGCGAUCCAUUUAUCACAACCCGCCAACCCGUUUACAACUUGUUUACAACCCAUCAUUCUUUUAACAUGUGAAGACUCGUUUAGCAAAAUGGGUUGACCCGGCUGUGUUCGGUUUACAUGAUUUUGUGUGUCAAUGUUAAAGUUGAUUUCGUUGACACACACAUAUACAUAUAUGGUUCCUGCCAAGAUUGCCACCGAUGAGAAAUUUUGUUUUCUGUUAUUCUUUUAUGUACCUCUUUGAAAUUAGACAAAACUAACCACAUUUGUUCAGGUCAUUACUGCUAGAGAUCUUUGUGCAAUUCAUCAGGAAAAAUUGCGGUCGCCAAUCAUGCUACGGUGUAAACACAUAUUUUGUCAAGAGUGUGUAUCAGAAUGGUUUGAUCGGGAGAGGAGAUGCCCACUAUGUCGAGCACUUGUGAAACCUACGGAUAUUAAAUCAUAUAGUGAUGGAUCAACCAGUCUUUUCUUCCAGUUCUUUUGAUGAUACAAAACAAUAUGUACAACAAUUUACAACCAUGGAUGGAUCUAUCCCGUCACAACUUGAGUGUCAUGAAUCAGUGGUUAGGAUCUCUCGUGACCUUUACAAACUAACCGCUGCAGAUGGAACUUGUUCCAACAACUGUCAGGCCAUCUGAAGUUAGAUACAUUGACCGGUAUAUAGUACCCAUAAUGUUCACAUAAUGACGUUCAUAUGACCCUAAACUGUAUAUAUAUUAUACAUACGUCAAUAUACUUUGCAUAUAUCUUUCAGAUCA